rnacentral:rRNA from 1 species
UACGUAGGGGGCUAGCGUUGUCCGGAAUCAUUGGGCGUAAAGAGCGUGUAGGCGGCCCGGUAAGUCCGCUGUGAAAGUCGGGGGCUCAACCCUCGAAUGCCGGUGGAUACUGUCGGGCUAGAGUGCGGAAGAGGCGAGUGGAAUUCCUGGUGUAGCGGUGAAAUGCGCAGAUAUCAGGAGGAACACCAGCGGCGAAGGCGGCGCUCUGGGCCGGUACUGACACUGAGGAGCGAAAGCGUGGGUAGCAAACAGG